UGGAGGAAAGUAGGGGAUCGAAAGACCUUGCGCUUUUGGAGCGGCCGAUGUCUGAUUAGCUAGUUGGUGGGGUAAUGGCCUACCAAGGCGACGAUCAGUAGUUGGUCUGAGAGGACGACCAGCCACACUGGGACUGAGACACGGCCCAGACUCCUACGGGAGGCAGCAGUGGGGAAUUUUGGACAAUGGGCGCAAGCCUGAUCCAGCAAUGCCGCGUGAGUGAAGAAGGCCUUCGGGUUGUAAAGCUCUUUCAGUCGAGAAGAAAAGGCUGUAGUGAAUAACUGUAGUUUAUGACGGUAUCGACAGAAGAAGCACCGGCUAACUACGUGCCAGCAGCCGCGGUAAUACGUAGGGUGCGAGCGUUAAUCGGAAUUACUGGGCGUAAAGGGUGCGCAGGCGGUUUUGUAAGUCAGAUGUGAAAUCCCCGGGCUUAACCUGGGAAUUGCGUUUGAAACUACAAAGCUAGA
rnacentral:rRNA from 1 species